GAUGAAGAACGCAGCGAAAUGCGAUACGUAAUGUGAAUUGCAGAAUUCAGUGAAUCAUCGAGUCUUUGAACGCACAUUGCGCCCUCUGGUAUUCCGGAGGGCAUGCCUGUCCGAGCGUCAUUGCUGCCCUCAAGCACGGCUUGUGUGUUGGGCUCCGUCCCCCGAUCCCGGGGGACGGGCCCGAAAGGCAGCGGCGGCACCGCGUCCGGUCCUCGAGCGUAUGGGGCUUUGUCACCCGCUCUGUAGGCCCGGCCGGCGCUUGCCGAUCCACCAAAUUUUUAUCCAGGUUGACCUCGGAUCAGGUAGGGAUACCCGCUGAACUUAAGCAUAUCAAUAAGCGGAGGA
rnacentral:misc_RNA from 1 species